CUCUUAGAUGUUCUGGGCCGCACGCGCGCUACACUGACGAUGGCAACGAGUUUUUCCUUCGCCGAAAGGUGUGGGUAAUCUUUUGAAACAUCGUCGUGCUGGGGAUAGAUCAUUGCAAUUUUUGAUCUUGAACGAGGAAUUCCUAGUAAGCGCGAGUCAUCAGCUCGCGUUGAUUACGUCCCUGCCCUUUGUACACACCGCCCGUCGCUACUACCGAUUGAAUGGUUUAGUGAGGACUCCUGAUUGGCGCCGCCGCCCCGGCAACGGAGCAGCGGACUGCCGAAAAGUUGUUCAAACUUGAUCAUUUAGAGGAAGUAAAAGUCGUAACA
rnacentral:rRNA from 1 species